rnacentral:rRNA from 1 species
UUGAUGUGUAGGAUAGGUGGGAGGCUUUGAAGUGUGGACGCCAGUCUGCAUGGAGCCGACCUUGAAAUACCACCCUUUAAUGUUUGAUGUUCUAACGUUGGCCCCUAAUCGGGGUUGCGGACAGUGUCUGGUGGGUAGUUUGACUGGGGCGGUCUCCUCCUAAAGAGUAACGGAGGAGCACGAAGGUUGGCUAAUCCUGGUCGGACAUCAGGAGGUUAGUGCAAUGGCAUAAGCCAGCUUGACUGCGAGCGUGACGGCGCGAGCAGGUGCGAAAGCAGGUCAUAGUGAUCCGGUGGUUCUGAAUGGAAGGGCCAUCGCUCAACGGAUAAAAGGUACUCCGGGGAUAACAGGCUGAUACCGCCCAAGAGUUCAUAUCGACGGCGGUGUUUGGCACCUCGAUGUCGGCUCAUCACAUCCUGGGGCUGAAGUAGGUCCCAAGGGUAUGGCUGUUCGCCAUUUAAAGUGGUACGCGAGCUGGGUUUAGAACGUCGUGAGACAGUUCGGUCCCUAUCUGCCGUGGGCGCUGGAGAACUGAGGGGGGCUGCUCCUAGUACGAGAGGACCGGAGUGGACGCAUCACUGGUGUUCGGGUUGUCAUGCCAAUGGCACUGCCCGGUAGCUAAAUGCGGAAGAGAUAAGUGCUGAAAGCAUCUAAGCACG